UACAGAGGUCUCAAGCGUUGUUCGGAUUCAUUGGGCGUAAAGGGCGCGUAGGCGGGAUGGCAAGUCGGUCGUGAAAUCCCUCGGCUCAACUGAGGAUCGUCGAUCGAUACUGCCGUUCUUGAGGAUUGCAGAGGAGACUGGAAUUCCCGGUGUAGCGGUGAAAUGUGUAGAGAUCGGGAGGAACACCGGUGGCGAAGGCGGGUCUCUGGGCAAUUCCUGACGCUGAGGCGCGAAAGCGUGGGGAGCAAACGGG
rnacentral:rRNA from 1 species